rnacentral:rRNA from 1 species
UGCAUAUCAAUAAGCGGAGGAAAAGAAACCAACAGGGAUUGCCUCAGUAACGGCGAGUGAAGCGGCAACAGCUCAAAUUUGAAAUCUGGCGGCCUCUGGGCCGUCCGAGUUGUAAUUUGAAGAGGAUGCUUUUGGCGAGGCGCCUUCCGAGUGCCCUGGAACGGGACGCCACAGAGGGUGAGAGCCCCGUAUGGUUGGACGCCGAGCCUCUGUAAAGCUCCUUCGACGAGUCGAGUAGUUUGGGAAUGCUGCUCAAAAUGGGAGGUAAACCCCUUCUAAAGCUAAAUACUGGCCAGAGACCGAUAGCGCACAAGUAGAGUGAUCGAAAGAUGAAAAGCACUUUGAAAAGAGAGUUAAAUAGCACGUGAAAUUGUUGAAAGGGAAGCGCUUGCGACCAGACUUGUGCCCGUCGAAUCAGCCGCCGCUCGCCGGCGGCGCACUUCGGCGGGCUCAGGCCAGCAUCAGUUCGCUGCAGGGGGAGAAAGGCGGCGGGAAUGUGGCUCUUCGGAGUGUUAUAGCCCGCCGCGCAAUACCCCUCGGCGGACUGAGGACCGCGCAUCUGCAAGGAUGCUGGCGUAAUGGUCGUCAGCGACCCGUCUUGAAACACGGACCAAGGAGUCGUCCUAAUAUGCGAGUGUUCGGGUGUAAAACCCCUGCGCGUAAUGAAAGUGAACGGAGGUGAGAGCUUCGGCGCAUCAUCGACCGAUCCUGAUGUUCUCGGAUGGAUUUGAGUAAGAGCAUAUUGGGCCGGACCCGAAAGAAGGUGAACUAUGCCUGUAUAGGGUAAAGCCAGAGGAAACUCUGGUGGAGGCUCGCAGCGGUUCUGACGUGCAAAUCGAUCGUCAAAUAUGGGCAUGGGGGCGAAAGACUAAUCGAACCUUCUAGUAGCUGGUUUCCGCCGAU